CCUUCCCCCUACACCCCUCUCCCUUUCCCCGCCCCCGCCACCGCUGGAGUCGCGGCGCUGCGGGCCGGAGCUGGGUUGAAGAAGCGAUCCCCCUGGCUCGGUGGGGAAUCUGUGCCGGCGCGGCCUCUAAACUAGGUGGGCGAGCGAGCGGCAGAGCGAGCUAGCAAGUCGGGCGGCGGCGUGCGGCGCCGUUAAGGGCGCUGCCCCGCGCGCUCCCAGGCCGUCCCGGGUCCCAGGCUCUUAGAAGGAGAAUUCCUGGGCCCGAAAAGCCGGGGCGGACGGAGGCGUUGUCGUCACUCAAGCUCGUUGCGGCGUGUGGAACCUUAGGUUGGCGCCUGGGGUCGGGGACUGAGGUUAAGGGCGCUGCCUGUCGGAGCGGAGAUCCCGGUUUGCCUCGCGCCCCGGCUCAGGACCCUGACGCGGGUGAGGCGGCCCCGGGAGCAUGAGCGGGCAGCGCGUGGACGUCAAGGUGGUGAUGUUGGGCAAGGAGUACGUGGGCAAGACGAGCCUGGUGGAGCGAUACGUGCACGACCGCUUCCUGGUGGGGCCUUAUCAGAAUACCAUUGGGGCCGCCUUCGUAGCCAAGGUGAUGUCUGUCGGAGACCGGACGGUGACUUUGGGUAUUUGGGACACAGCAGGCUCUGAGCGCUAUGAGGCCAUGAGCCGAAUCUACUAUCGGGGCGCCAAGGCUGCCAUCGUCUGCUAUGACCUGACAGACAGCAGCAGCUUUGAACGGGCAAAGUUCUGGGUGAAGGAACUGCGCAACCUAGAGGAGGGCUGUCAGAUCUACUUGUGCGGCACCAAGAGUGACCUGCUGGAGGAGGACAGGCGGCGGCGACGAGUGGACUUCCACGACGUUCAGGAUUAUGCAGACAAUAUCAAAGCUCAGCUCUUUGAAACAUCCAGCAAGACAGGCCAGAGUGUGGACGAGCUCUUCCAGAAAGUGGCAGAGGAUUACGUCAGUGUGGCCGCCUUCCAGGUGAUGACAGAGGACAAGGGCGUGGACCUGGGCCAGAAGGCAAACCCCUACUUCUACAGCUGUUGUCAUCACUGAGUCACCACUCACUGGGCCUGGGGGGGAUUCUCCCAGGAAAGCUGGCCCUAGCUCUUGUCUGGGCUUGGGUGAUCAAGCAUCUGAGCUACCUGGUUUCCCGUGGCAGCAAAGGUGGCACCUGCCUGUGCUGGCCCAUGGAGCGGAGACAGCAUUGGGGCUGACUGAUGGGCACAAGAGGCAACCGCUGGCCCUGCUACACUAGCCCUAGGAAGCUCAGCUGAGAGCUAACGGGCCACAGUCAAUGAAAGUCUCAUGCAGCAGCUACUGAGCUCUAAAUGAUCUGGAAUGUCGAACACAUGGAACAGCCCAGUCAUUAUUCAGGAGGAACAGGGGCUUGUCCCACCUCUUUUCCUGCCAUGAUCUCAGAGAGGUGAGGACAGUGGGCUAACUCUGACCUCCUGGUUGACAAAUACCAAGAGGAUGAAGAUAUCCCCCCCAAAAAGCCUUGGAGAAAACCCACUUUUUAUAGGAGCUGAUGCAAAAAUAAAAUAAAAUCCAUCCACGUUUAGUGCUCUCCUGAUUCUUCUCCACAGGGGAAGCUGCCAGGACCAACUUCCUUCCUGCCACUCUGUUCUCAUGAGGCAACGUGCGAGUCCAGCUCCAGUGAGUAGAUGCUGCCAAGCCUGGAAAAGGAUCGCUGAUGCACUUCAUGCCCUGACUGUAGUGUGGGGUGGAGAAUGUAAAGAAUAAAACAACUAUUUAUAUCAAUGCUAAA